rnacentral:lncRNA from 1 species
GUGCAAUGUUUUUGCUUUUUUUGCUCGUAUGACACUUCUGAUCGAUCUUCUCUUUGGAUCAAGAGCUUGAAAGAGAAAGCCCCGUUCUGUCCGAGAGAGGACUGUCAGCUAUGAACCAAGAAAGGCUCUCAUCAGAAUUCAACCAUCCUGGUGCCUUGCCUUUGGGGUUCCCAGCCUUCAGGACGGUUUUUCAGGUUAAAGUUUGGACCUCGCGGAAGCAGCCAAGAAACCCGUCGUUGGAUACUCUGGAACAGAGGAGGGACCCACUCAAGGCUCUCCUGUUGGAAGCCGAUUUCUAGACAUAGUCCACGCACCACAGUUGUAUCUUCAGAGCAGCAGGGAGAAGCUGAGAGAAGAAAGUGGGGAAAAAGCCCUAUGGACCCAACGACUUCCCCAUUUUACAGGGUGAGCCUAGACAGAAUUUAAAUUUCCUUCCCUUGAGAGUCUGAAGGAGGGAGGCUGCUGGCCGUGUCACCCUUCUGAACUGAGGAUGCAACUCGCCGGCGCCGCGUUCUUCAGCACGGCAAGACUAAUUUUGUUUCGCAGCUGGAUAAAUAAAGUAAGGCAGAAAAAAGCUGGCAUUACACAUUUUUGAAUUAGCACCAAGUCUUCCAAACUCCACCUCUUUCAGGAAAUGUUCCUGAAUGCAGUGGGAGGUGCUAAAUUCCCUCCCCCGCCCUUCUCACCACAGCGCUGCGCAGCUGAAGCUCGAAGAGCUGUGCUUACCCCUACAUUGGUCAGCCUGACUGUUCCUUCUCCAUGAUCUCUGGAUCCUCAGCUGAAUUUUUUUUUGUCUAUGUCAAUAGGAUCAUAACAGAUAAUGCGAGAGAAUGGUAAAGUCGAUGGAAAUUGUGGAGAGGAGUGAUGGUCUAUGAAGGUGUCAGUGUCUCUGGUCCACGACUGAAAAUUCCAAAAAAAAAAAAAAAGAAAAAGAAAGAAAGAAAAGAAAAAAGAACAAAGCCUUUUGGUGGUGGUUCCUGAAUUAAUUAUUUUUUUAAAGAUUUUAUUUAUUUAUUUCACAGAGAGAGAUCACAAGCAGGCAGAGAGGCAGGCAGAAAGGGAGAGGGGGAAGCAGGCUCCCUGCUGAGCAGAGAGCCCCACGUGGGGCUCGAUCCCAGGACCCUGAGAUCAUGACCUGAGCCGAAGGCAGCGGCUUAACCCCCUGAACCACCCAGGUGCCCCUUCCUGAAUUAAUUUUAAGUGAAAAAAAUUCCACCCAAUUAUCAUAUAAUUCACAAGAGAGGAAACAACUCUGGGCUUAAAAUUCAGAGAAAUCUGUAUCCUACAAUGAGUUUAGUCAACCCCCCAGAAUCUUACAUGGUUACCCACAAGGUAGCUUUUCA